GAUGAACGCUAGCUACAGGCUUAACACAUGCAAGUCGAGGGGUAGCAGGGUAGCAAUACCGCUGACGACCGGCGCACGGGUGAGUAACACGUAUCCAACCUUCCCAUAACUCAGGAAUAGCCUUUCGAAAGAAAGAUUAAUACCUGAUAGCACUUAAGAAAGGCAUCUUUUUUAAGUUAAAGAUUUAUCGGUUAUGGAUGGGGAUGCGUUCCAUUCGAUAGUUGGUGAGGUAACGGCUCACCAAGUCUUCGAUGGAUAGGGGUUCUGAGAGGAAGGUCCCCCACAUUGGAACUGAGAAACGGACCAAACUCCUACGGGAGGCAGCAGUGAGGAAUAUUGGUCAAUGGGCGGAAGCCUGAACCAGCCAAGUAGCGUGAAGGAUGAAGGUCCUAUGGAUUGUAAACUUCUUUUAUAGUAGAAUAAAGUGAGCCACGUGUGGUUUUUUGUAUGUAUACUAUGAAUAAGGAUCGGCUAACUCCGUGCCAGCCGCCGCCGUAA
rnacentral:rRNA from 1 species